UACGGAGGGGGCUAGCGUUGUUCGGAAUUACUGGGCGUAAAGCGCACGUAGGCGGCUUUGUAAGUUAGAGGUGAAAGCCUGAUGCUCAACAUCAGAAUUGCCUUUAAGACUGCAUCGCUUGAACGUCGGAGAGGUGAGUGGAAUUCCGAGUGUAGAGGUGAAAUUCGUAGAUAUUCGGAAGAACACCAGUGGCGAAGGCGGCUCACUGGACGACUGUUGACGCUGAGGUGCGAAAGCGUGGGGAGCGAACAGG
rnacentral:rRNA from 1 species